UCAAGCUAAUAAGAGCGCAAGGGGAAUGCCUUGGCAUCAGGAGCCGACGAAGGACGUGACAAGCUGCGAUAAGCUACGGUGAGGAGCAAAUAUCCUGUGACCCGUAGAUUUCCGAAUGGGGCAACCCGGCUGGACAAUAUCCAGUCAUCCUGCAUUGAAUAAAAUAGGUGUAGGAAGGGAACCGCCUGAACUGAAACAUCUAAGUAGGGCGAGGAAAAGACAUCAACCGAGAUUCCGCAAGUAGUGGCGAGCGAACGCGGAAGAGGCCAAACCAGAGGUCAUUGAUCUCUGGGGUAUGGACUUGCAUCAUGAUCAGAGGUAUCUAGUCGAAUGGCGUGGGAAAGCCAACCACAGAGGGUGAGAGUCCCGUAGACGAAAGAGAAGACUGACAGCGAGUAUCCAGAGUACCGCCGGACACGUGAAACCCGGUGGGAACAUGGGAGGACCACCUUCCAAGCCUAAAUACUACCUGAUGACCGAUAGUGGAGCAGUACCGUGAGGGAAAGGUGAAAAGAACCCCGGGAGGGGAGUGAAAGAGUACCUGAAACCUUGUGCUUACAAGCAGACAUAGCCCGUUAACGGGUGGUGUCGUACUUUUUGUAGAACGGUCCGGCGAGUUAUAGUAACUGGCGAGCUUAAGGUAUUGAGUACCGGAGGCGAAGCGAAAGCGAGUGUUAAGAGCGCGUAUAGAGUCAGUUGCCAUAGACCCGAAACCAGGUGACCUAGCCAUGUCCAGGAUGAAGUGGAGGUAAAGCUCCAUGGAGGUCCGAACCCACGUUCGUUGCAAUGACCGGGGAUGAGGUGUGGCUAGCGGUGAAAUUCCAAACGAACUUGGAGAUAGCUGGUUCUCCCCGAAAUAGUUUUAGGACUAGCGUUGGGUAUGAGUUUAACGGCGGUAAAGCACUGAAUGGGCUAGGGGGCGAUAAGCUUACUGAACCCUAUCAAACUAAGAAUGCCGUAUAAAUGCUUACCAGCAGUCAGACUGCGAGUAAUAAAAUCCGUAGUCAAAAGGGAAACAGCCCAGAUCUACAGCUAAGGUCCCUAAUACAUGCUAAGUGGAAAACGAUGUGAGAUUGCGAAAACAACCAGGAUGUUGGCUUAGAGGCAGCCACUCGUUCAAAGAGUGCGUAAUAGCUCACUGGUCGAGUGAUCUUGCGCGGAAAAUUUAACGGGGCUAAGCAUGUAACCGAAGCUUGGGAUUCACGAUUUAUCGUGAGUGGUAGGGGAGCGUCGAAUACGGGGUGAAGUCGCACCGGAAGGAGCGGUGGACUGUAUUCGAGUGAGAAUGCCGGAAUGAGUAGCGAGAAUUAUGUGGGAAUCAUAAUGGCCGAAAAUCUAAGGUUUCUUGGGGAAGGUUCGUCCGCCCAAGGUAAGUCGGGAGCUAAGCUCAGGCCGAGAGGCGUAGGCGAUGCACAUACGGUAGAAAUUCCGUAACCACCGAAACUUAAACAGAGGGACACUUCGAAAUAGCGGAACCCGGGCGUUGGUUGACCCGGGCGAAAGGGAGCGAAAUUAGAGUAGCGAAGUCCGCGAUGUUCGGAGGCGAGAAAAGCUCUGAGGUAUGCUAAGGUGCCCGUACCGCAAACCGACACAGGUAGAUGAGGAGAGAAUCCUAAGGCCAACGGGAGAAGGGUUGUUAAGGAACUCGGCAAAUUGACCCCGUAACUUCGGAAGAAGGGGAGCCCCCUACGGGGGGUCGCAGAGAAAUGGCCCAAGCAACUGUUUACCAAAAACACAGGUCUAUGCUAAAUCGAAAGAUGACGUAUAUGGGCUGACGCCUGCCCGGUGCCGGAAGGUUAAGAGGAGAUGUCAGGCAACGAAGCAUUGAAUUUAAGCCCCGGUAAACGGCGGCCGUAACUAUAACGGUCCUAAGGUAGCGAAAUUCCUUGUCAGGUAAGUUCUGACCCGCACGAAUGGCGUAAUGAUUUGGGCACUGUCUCAACAGCCCGCCCGGCGAAAUUGUAGUACUGGUGAAGAUGCCAGUUACCCGCA
rnacentral:rRNA from 1 species